rnacentral:misc_RNA from 1 species
AAGUCGUAGCAAGGUUUCCGUAGGUGAACCUGCGGAAGGAUCAUUACAGAGUUCGUGCCCCUCGUGGGUAGACCUCCCACCCUUGUGUAUUCUAAUUAAUCGUUGCUUUGGCGGGCCGCGAGCACGUCUCGCCCGGGAGCUCCUCCCGGUUGUGCCCGCCAGAGGACCCCCAAACUCUGAAUGUUAGUGUCGUCUGAGUUCUUAUACAAUCGUUAAAA